rnacentral:lncRNA from 1 species
UACCGAGGUGAUGUUGUGCCCAAAGAUGUGAAUGCAGCUGUGGCUACCAUCAAGACCAAGCGCACAAUCCAAUUUGUCGAUUGGUGCCCCACCGGAUUUAAGUGCGGUAUCAACUACCAGCCACCAACUGUUGUUCCGGGUGGAGACCUUGCCAAGGUUCAGAGGGCAGUAUGCAUGAUCUCUAACUCAACCAGUGUUGCGGAAGUGUUCUCUCGCAUUGACCACAAAUUCGAUCUCAUGUAUGCCAAACGUGCCUUCGUGCACUGGUAUGUUGGUGAAGGCAUGGAGGAAGGAGAGUUCUCAGAGGCUCGUGAGGACCUUGCUGCCCUGGAAAAAGAUUAUGAGGAAGUUGGAGCUGACUCUGCUGAAGGAGAUGAGGAGGAUGAGGGAGAUGAGUACUGAGCGAAGGUCAGGGACGACUACACCUUUACG